rnacentral:misc_RNA from 1 species
GAUGAAGAACGCAGCGAAAUGCGAUACGUAAUGUGAAUUGCAGAAUUCAGUGAAUCAUCGAGUCUUUGAACGCACAUUGCGCCCCCUGGUAUUCCGGGGGGCAUGCCUGUCCGAGCGUCAUUGCUGCCCUCAAGCACGGCUUGUGUGUUGGGCCUCCGUCCUCCUCCCGGGGGACGGGCCCGAAAGGCAGCGGCGGCACCGCGUCCGGUCCUCGAGCGUAUGGGGCUUCGUCACCCGCUCUUGUAGGCCCGGCCGGCGCUUGCCGACACAUCAAUCUUUUUUCCAGGUUGACCUCGGAUCAGGUAGGGAUACCCGCUGAACUUAAGCAUAUCAAUAAGCGGCGA